rnacentral:rRNA from 1 species
CACGUAGGGCGCGAGCGUGUCCGGAAUUAUUGGGCGUAAAGAGCUCGUAGGCGGUUUGUCGCGUCUGCUGUGAAAACUGGGGGGCUCAACCCCCCAGCCUGCAGUGGGUACGGGCAGACUAGAGUGCGGUAGGGGAGAUUGGAAUUCCUGGUGUAGCGGUGGAAUGCGCAGAUAUCAGGAGGAACACCGGUGGCGAAGGCGGGUCUCUGGGCCGAUACUGACGCUGAGGAGCGAAAGCGUGGGGAGCGAACAGG